rnacentral:rRNA from 1 species
AAGCUCAAAAUUCCUCUUUGUGUGAACAUAUUCAUUUGGUUUCUAAACAGAGGUGUGAUCUUGACCAAAAAUAACCUUUCACGCUGUAGUUGGCAAGGGAGCAAGACGUGCGUCUUUUGCCAACAUGACGAGUGUAUUAAACACCUUUUUCGUGUAAGUUUUCUUGUUCAAUGUGGGUCGUAG